GCCGCCCGGACAGUUGGUGCAGGAAGAACGCAGCAGUAUCAGCGCACUCCAUCCCGGGGAUCUGAAUGCAUUGGUGGAGAGAACAGGGAAAUAAGAGGUAAGAGAGAGAAAAAAACAAAGCAGGCAAAUAGCACAGCUGUCCACAGGGGGCGGGGCUUAAGGCAGGGCCUGUGCCGGAGGGUGGCCCAGCACAGUCGGGGCCUCGGGGCCCAGUCUGGAGGGGGCCUGGCACAGUUGAGGCCUCCUCUGGGUCCAGACCAAAGGGGGCCCAGGCGGGAGGAGGACCAGGCUCAGUUGGGGCUGCUUUGGGGCCCAGUCCGGAGGGGGGCCUGGCACACUUGGGGCUGCUUUGGGGCCCAGGCUGGAGGAGGACCAGGCUCAGUUGGGGCUGCUUUGGGGCCCAGGCUGGAGGGGGCCUGGCACAGUUGAGGCCUCCUUUGGGCCCAGUCUGGAGGGGGCCCAGGCAGAGCCAGGGCCUCAGGGCCCAGGCUGGAGGAGGACCAGGCUCAGUUGGGGCUGCUUUGAGGCCCAGUCCGGAGGGGGGCCUGGCACAGUUGGGGCUGCUUUGGGGCCCAGGCUGGAGGAGGACCAGGCUCAGCUGGGGCUGCUUUGGGGCCUAGUCCGGAGGGAGGCCCGGCACAGCCAGAGCCUUGUGGCAGCAGUCCAACUCUCAAGUUCAACCUUUAACCAUAACCUAAAACGGUAACCGUAGUGAAAGGUAGUGGCAGAUAGAGCUGCUUUACUGUGUUUUAAUUUUCCCAAGAAUAGUGAAGGACUCAAGCUAGUAAAGAAAGACCCCUUUCUGAAGAGCAGGACUCAGAAGGUAUUACCAGAGAGCAGAUCUCCCAGUAGAGAUUCUUCCCCUUAGACAGCCAGCCCUUAAAUGAGGUUAGGGGGGGCUGGGACCAGGCUCCACCCCUUUUCUGCACAGGUGAAACGCUUCCAGCUGUGCUCCGCAGCAGACCAUGUUUUAACAAAGGUGAAAGCCUGUGAAACAAAAGAAUCCCUUCUUACUUGUUUCACGUUUGUGUUUGUUGACCGCAGUUCCAACCAGGUGGACUCUCAAUGUCUUGCAAGCGACACCUAGAAGCAGGUACAGGCAGGAGGCACAGCACCCUGCAACCUCCAGGGGCCUUUGUGCAAAUGUUCAUGUCCUAGAAGCACGUGGCGGAGCACGUCCUGGGAUCAAGGUGCCAUGGACUGGAAAAUGCAGCUCUGGACAUACAGGCUUGGCGGAGUUCCUGUGUGAAGACAAAACUCCCAGUACUCCAGAAACGUGGAGGCAGAAGAGCAGUGACAAGUUCCAGUCGAAGGUCUCUGUUCAGCCAGUCCAGGAGUGCGUGGGCAGACAAAGAAGCGUUGUGCAGGCAGGGAAAAAUGAGUGCUGUGGGUCCUGGGAGCAGCAAUGCGUGAGGCUCCUCCUGCUAGUGCUCUUCCGCUGGAACGUCCCUUUGGUUUUCUACUUGGGAGAAUAUUUGAACCCGUUGAAAAAGGUCUGACUUGAAGCGAGGGUGCAGAGCAGAUUUAACCUCUGCAGGCGUGUAUGCCAGAGCAUGAAGCAUCGUCAACAAGCACGGGGUAGCACCAGCUUGAAACAGGGGAAGCUUCCACAGAGCCCCCAAAUGGAGUCCCAGGGUGAUGAGAUGAAGCUGAUUUUGGCAGCAUUAAAGGUGGUUUUCCAGGAUCUGUGCCUUCUAGGGCUGGGGGCUGUCACUGGGGUUGCUUUCACAGGACACCCCCCAGCCCACCUCAGGACCCACGGGGAGUCUGUCGGUGACAAAUGUGUCACUGAGUGACAGCAUCAGGGUGGGAAUGUGUGGAACACAGUGCCCAGGGCAGAGCCAAGCGGCGCUGGGGGGGGGUCAGCCCCAAGGAGAAAGCCUCCCCCAUGGAAGAAAUGGAUUGCUUAAUGCCGUGGGUGAGAUGUUGUAGAACAGCAAAUUAAUGAGGUUAAAAGGUGCCGCCCGGGUACUGUGGGAACCUCCUCCCACCCUGCAAGUGCUGUCCAAAGCUCUCCAGUGCCCCCUGCUGCUCUUUGCAGUUCCCCACUAAGCUCCCGUUGUCUCCCAGUAUUGUCCAGAGUCUCCUUGUGCAAACUCAGUGCCCCCCAGUGCUGCCUGGAGCCACCCCAGUGCUGUAUGCGGCCCUCAGUAGCCUCCCAGCGCCCCCCAGUGGACUUCCCAGUGCCUCCAGUAGUGCCCAGUGCCCCCAGUUCAACACAUGCACUGCUCAGCACGUGACCGUCGCCUUCCCCAGGAACAAAACAAGGCAACAGAGACGUUGACAGCAGCGAUGGUGAUGGAGAUGUUCAGACUGGAGGAGCUCUUGGCUCGCUGCAGCCACCCCAGCAUCCCCAGAGCUCCCUGCUGGCCCUGGAGGAGUCAGAGUGCUCUGUGAUGGAAGAAGAGGAGUCGAGGCUGCUGGAGACAUCUGGGCUCAGUGGCUCCGUGGCAGUGAUGCACUGCAUCAGCUCUUCCAUUUGGCAGCUGUUCGCAG